rnacentral:rRNA from 1 species
CCUACGGGAGGCAGCAGUGAGGAAUAUUGGUCAAUGGACGAGAGCCUGAACCAGCCAAGUAGCGUGAAGGAUGACUGCCCUAUGGGUUGUAAACUUCUUUUAUAUGGGAAUAAAACAGGGUAUGCAUACCCUCUUGUAUGUACCAUAUGAAUAAGGAUCGGCUAACUCCGUGCCAGCAGCCGCGGUAAUACGGAGGAUCCGAGCGUUAUCCGGAUUUAUUGGGUUUAAAGGGAGCGAAGGUGGAUUGUUAAGUCAGUUGUGAAAGUUUGCGGCGCAACCGUAAAAUUGCAGUUGAAACUGGCAGUCUUGAGUACAGUAGAGGUAGGCGGAAUUCGUGGUGUAGCGGUGAAAUGCUUAGAUAUCACGAAGAACUCCGAUUGCGAAGGCAGCUCACUGGACUGCAACUGACACUGAUGCUCGAAAGUGUGGGUAUCAAACAGGAUUAGAUACCCGAGUAGUC